AUUGAACGCUGGCGGCAUGCUUUACACAUGCAAGUCGGACGAGUGGCGAACGGGUGAGUAAUAUAUCGGAACGUACCGAGUAAUGGGGGAUAACUAAUCGAAAGAUUAGCUAAUACCGCAUAUUAUUCGAGCGGCCGAUAUCUGAUGAGCUAGUUGGUGGGGUAAAGGCCUACCAAGGCGACGAUCAGUAGCGGGUCUGAGAGGAUGAUAAGCAGCGCUGGACCUUGGCACGGGCCCCGACUCCGACGGGAGGCAGAGGUGGGGAGUGUUGGACAAGGGGGGCAGGCCUGGACCAGCCAUCCCGCGUGUCUGAGGAAGGCCUUCGGGUUUUAAAGGACGGUUGUCAGGUAAGGGGUACCUGAAAAAUAAGCACCGGCUAACUACGUGCCAGCAGCCGCGGUAAUUC
rnacentral:rRNA from 1 species